AUUGAACGCUGGCGGCAGGCCUAACACAUGCCAGUCGAGCGGAUGAAGGGAGCUUGCUCCUGGAUUCAGCGGCGGACGGGUGUGUAAUGCCUAGGAAUCUGCCUGGUAGUGGGGGAUAACGUCCGGAAACGGGCGCUAAUACCGCAUAUGUCCUGAGGGAGAAAGUGGGGGAUCUUCGGACCUCACGCUAUCAGAUGAGCCUAGGUCGGAUUAGCUAGUUGGUGGGGUAAAGGCCUACCAAGGCGACGAUCCGUAACUGGUCUGUGAGGAUGAUCAGUCACACUGGAACUGAGACACGGUCCAGACUCCUACGGGAGGCAGCAGUGGGGAAUAUUGGACAAUGGGCGAAAGCCUGAUCCAGCCAUGCCGCGUGUGUGAAGAAGGUCUUCGGAUUGUAAAGCACUUUAAGUUGGGAGGAAGGGCAGUAAGUUAAUACCUUGCUGUUUUGACGUUACCAACAGAAUAAGCACCGGCUAACUUCGUG
rnacentral:rRNA from 1 species